rnacentral:rRNA from 1 species
AGCGAACGCUGGCGGCAGGCCUAACACAUGCAAGUCGAGCGGAUGACGGGAGCUUGCUCCUUGAUUCAGCGGCGGACGGGUGAGUAAUGCCUAGGAAUCUGCCUGAUAGUGGGGGACAACGUUUCGAAAGGAACGCUAAUACCGCAUACGUCCUACGGGAGAAAGCAGGGGACCUUCGGGCCUUGCGCUAUCAGAUGAGCCUAGGUCGGAUUAGCUAGUUGGUGGGGUAAUGGCUCACCAAGGCGACGAUCCGUAACUGGUCUGAGAGGAUGAUCAGUCACACUGGAACUGAGACACGGUCCAGACUCCUACGGGAGGCAGCAGUGGGGAAUAUUGGACAAUGGGCGAAAGCCUGAUCCAGCCAUGCCGCGUGUGUGAAGAAGGUCUUCGGAUUGUAAAGCACUUUAAGUUGGGAGGAAGGGCAGUAAGUUAAUACCUUGCUGUUUUGACGUUACCGACAGAAUAAGCACCGGCUAACUCUGUGCCAGCCGCCGCCGUAACAC